AGUGAACGCUGGCGGUAGGCCUAACACAUGCAAGUCGAACGGCAGCACAGUAAGAGCUUGCUCUUACGGGUGGCGAGUGGCGACGGGUGAGGAAUACAUCGGAAUCUACUUUUUCGUGGGGGAUAACGUAGGGAAACUUACGCUAAUACCGCAUACGACCUACGGGUGAAAGCAGGGGAUCUUCGGACCUUGCGCGAUUGAAUGGGCCGAUGUCGGAUUAGCUAGUUGGCGGGGUAAAGGCCCACCAAGGCGACGAUCCGUAGCUGGUCUGAGAGGAUGAUCAGCCACACUGGAACUGAGACACGGUCCAGACUCCUACGGGAGGCAGCAGUGGGGAAUAUUGGACAAUGGGCGCAAGCCUGAUCCAGCCAUACCGCGUGGGUGAAGAAGGCCUUCGGGUUGUAAAGCCCUUUUGUUGGGAAAGAAAAGCAGCAGGUUAAUACCCCGCUGUUCUGACGGUACCCAAAGAAUAAGCACCGGCUAACUUCGUG
rnacentral:rRNA from 1 species